ACUAUUGUCACGGGUUACCGCGGCUGCUGGCACGGAGUUAGCCGGUGCUUCUUCUGCGAGUAACGUCACAGAUGUAAGGUAUUAACUUACACCUUUCCUCCUCGCUGAAAGUGCUUUACAACCCGAACGGCCUUCUUCACACACGCGGCAUGGCUGCAUCAGGGUUUCCCCCAUUGUGCAAUAUUCCCCACUGCUGCCUCCCGUAGGAGUCUGGGCCGUGUCUCAGUCCCAGUGUGGCUGAUCAUCCUCUCAGACCAGCUAGGGAUCGUCGCCUAGGGUGAGCCUUUACCUCACCUACUAGCUAAUCCC
rnacentral:rRNA from 1 species